GGCAAACUCACCUUGGCUUCAUGAGUGAUGUAGUGACCCCCAGAGAAGCUUGUAGGGGAGAAUAGGCAAGGAGAAUGAGAUGUUCAUAGGGAUGUUCAUGGGAUGUUCCCUUUAAAUAAAGGGAAGCCCUUGAGGCAAUCUCAGAGGGGGCUUCCCAACUCAGAGAAAAGGAAGAGCUUGUCAUAGAGAAGCACAGAAUUCAUGACAUCAUCUUAUUGAAAGAUCACAGAAACUCUGAAUUUAUUUCCCAUCAAUAAAGUUACAAAUGUUUUCGUUUCCCCUUGGAAACCUAAUAUGAAUAUGCCGUGGAAUUUGUUUUUUCCCCAGUGAAUUAAAAGGCAUGCGAAGGUUUACUAAAAAGCCAAGUGGUUUGGGGACUGAAAAAGUAGAGAAAUCCUGCUUGAAACUAUCCAUUGCCUAGAAGAGGAUGGACAUGGAGCCCAGUCCUGACUCCAAACACUUCCUGCUUUACUCAGCCCAGGCAGAGGAUAAAGGGCGUGGGCUUUGGAGGCUCCCUCUCUCUGAUGCAGAAUCAGCAUUGAUGGUGUGAGGCUACCUGCUGGGAACAGAGGACAGCUGAAGAAAGAUGCAGAGCUCUGGCAGAGAGUGAGCAAGGCAAGCAAUGGGAAUGACUGUUGCCUCUGGAAGCUGAAGAAAUGUUCAUGGAGCAUUGUGGGUAUUGGCCACCAGGAGCAGUGAUGGGGAUCGGUGACUUGUGUCACCUGGUAUUUUCCAGCAUUCUCUUGGAUUCAUCUUAUUUUUUACAACAGCCAGGUUUCGGGAUUAUUAUCCUCAUUUGGUCUCACCCACCUUCCCAGACCAGAUGAAGCAUGUUUAUCAUUGUAAACAAGCAGUAAAACAAAGAGAAAAAUAAUCAUUUACAACAUAUCUGCUGUGAAAAAGAUGAUAGCUAAAGGCGUUUUCCAGCAUCACUGUGACAUCAGGCUUCUCACUUCUGGACCCAUAAACCCACCAUUCAUUUUUUUUUGAAUACCAAUUAAAGUGUUUUCUCAAGAAUUUUCUUUGUGUUUCUUUGUAACAUUGAAGUUAAACCCAGUUCUCUUAGGAAAUAGUUUCUAGAUCCUUUCCCUUUUUCCUCUCUUGAACCAUUACAACUAACAGUUUCUCUCCAGAAUAACAGUUAAACAGUUUCUCCCAAACUCCUCAUGGAAUGACAGUAAAAACACUAGGGUCCGUCCAUUAGUGCCUCUUGAAUUUAGGGUAACAGGUGCUUGAAAUCUGUGUUGGAGCUUGAUUCCUUGGCAGGGGUUGUGGGCUAGAUGAGGCAGAAUGCAGUGCACAUGUUCACAAAGGCCAGUCUGGGCCAGUAUUGUUAAACUUGCAUGUGUACAUGUUGUCUCCCCUGAUCACAAAGGGCAGGGUUGGUUUCCUUUUUGUCUUUGUAACCUCAUCACUGGGCACAGUGCCUGACACAUCAGCUGGUGGAGCUGGGUGGUACUAUGAUUGGAAGACUGCUAGUCACUGAAUUUCAUUUUGCCUCAGUUUCCCUAGCAAUAAAAUGGGGAUAAUAAUAGAAUAGCA
rnacentral:lncRNA from 1 species